AGGAUUUUAUUGUCAAACUAUGGCAGAAAUUAUUAAAUUUUAUUGUGGCCAAAUGAAGUUGUGUGUAAAAGUUCUUAAAGGUUGUUGCAGUUUCCUUAAGGGUUAAAUAUGAAGGAGUAAUGAUAAAUAACUGAUGGUCUCUUCAUCUUCUAUUUACGCAUGUCUUUUUUAUGGUUCUUUAACAUUAAAAAUUCAUUGAAGAAUUUGUCUUGAUCGUUUUUUACGCGAGCUACUCUUCAACAUUAGAGUACUUAAAUUAAGAAUGCUGCUACAGUGUAACACAUAAGUUAUCGUACAAGCCUAUAACGUCAGAUAAAUUCAUCACAAGAGCUCAAUAAUCUCGAUAUCAACAGUCUCAAACAAACUAAAUUAGCUUCUUGCCGGUGCCAUUUAUAGCAAGUCGUCAUCUUCUAGAUAUGUUCAGGACAUUCAAGUGACACCUUCCGGACUUCUGCAAUACUUUUGCUGGUGCAUCUAGUGGAGACACACACCUCUACAAUGAUCAAUUUUACAUUUUAGUGCUGUCAACCAUAUUUUAAUCGCUAAAAAAAAUUACAACUUAAUACUAGGGUUCUAUAUAUCGACUUUCGAAUAAUCGAACAAUCGACUUUUUGUCGA